rnacentral:rRNA from 1 species
CGGAGGAUCCGAGCGUUAUCCGGAUUUAUUGGGUUUAAAGGGUGCGCAGGCGGGAGAUUAAGUCGGCGGUGAAAUUUUGCAGCUCAACUGUAAAAGUGCCUUCGAUACUGGUUUCCUUGAGUGUGGAUGAAGUAGGCGGAAUUUGUGGUGUAGCGGUGAAAUGCUUAGAUAUCACGAGGAACUCCGAUUGCGCAGGCAGCUUACUAAACCACUACUGACGCUCAGGCACGAAGGCGUGGGGAUCAAACAGGAUUAGAUACCCU